rnacentral:lncRNA from 1 species
CAGUUUUCAAGUUUGUCCAAAUCGUGGUCCAAAAUGAGACUUUGUUUGAUUUCAACAAAAAUUGAAUCCUUGGGGGUUCUUUGAUAUGCUGAAUCUAAACAUGUAUUAAGAUUUUUGCUUAUGGGGCCAGUUUUCAAGUUGGUUCAAAAUUUAACUUUGUUUGAUAUCAACAAAAAUUAAAUUCUUGGGGUUCUUUGAUAUGCUGAAUCUAAAAAUGUAUUAAGAUUUUUUAUUAUAGGCCCAGUUUUCAAGUUGGUCCAAAUCAGGGUCCAAAAUUAAACUAUGUUUGAUUUCAACAAAAAUGGAAUCCUUGGGGUUCUUUGAUAUAUGACGAUUCUAACCAUGUAUUUAGAUUUUUGAUAUUUGGGCCCAGUUACCAAAUUGGUACAUAUUGAGGUCUAAAGGUUCCAAAAUGAAAACUUUAUUUGAUUUCAUCAAAAAAUGAAUUCUUGGGGUUCUUUGAUAUGCUGAAUCUAACCAUGUAUCUAGAUUUUGGAUAUUGGACCAUAAAAGGUAAAUGUCCAAUUUAAAAUUUUUAAGUUUUUAAGUUUAAGUUCUUAUACCCCAUUCAUUCUGUGUCAGAAACCUAUGUUUUGUCAACUAUUUAAUAACAAUCCAAAUUCAGAGCUGUAUCAAGCUUGAAUGUUGUGUCCAUACUUGCCCCAACUGUUCAGGGUUCAAACUCUGCGGUCGUAUAAAGCUGUGACCUGCCGAGCAUCUGGUUAUAAUGUAUGUGUAUUAUGUAUGAAGUUUUACAUUGAAUAUAUAUAUAUAUAUCCUUUAUAUCACUCUGUUCACAUUUUGAUAUGAUUAUGUCAUAAUUUAUAUUUUGUCCUUUUGGCAGCACACAUUCCUGUUGCUGAAAAAUUCACACAGCUAGGUAUUUUCAACAGCAACAAAUGUGGCUUUAGGCAAGACAUAUAUUUGUUAAUCUGGUAACUGUGUUAACUAUUUGUAUACAAUUUUAUAGUAAAAAAGGAGAACACUUUAUGUCUGGUUUGUAGAUGUCUUUGUUCUGUUUCCGUGUGGCAUAUACUGUGGAUUAAUUAUUAUUUGUUGGAUACUGAUUAUUGUGGAUUUCGGGGAUAAAGGUGAACCACAAAAUUAAAUGUUCAAGGAAUGACUUGUUUCUAAAGGCCUGUUUGUAGACUUUGUAAAAACCAAGAAAUUAAAUAUCCACUAACAUAUAAGUUUUCCUGAAAAUAGAUGGAUCCACCGUACCGGUAUAUCGGUUUCAUAAAUCUUGUAAAUGAAAGGGGAAAUGAAUCUGAUAGAAAACAAAGAAUAUAGAAUAUCUAUCCAUGACACAAAAUUAGUUCAUCUAACCAGGAUUAACUGACUUUGACCUUAUUUUCAUGGUUGAAUGGUCAACAUCUAGUUGUGGUUUAUGUCAAUCAAUAAAAACAUCAACUUAUAACAAAAAGGUCUCCUGAGUUGGUCUUUAGAAUAAGUGAUGAUGCAAAUUGAUCCUGACAUGAGUAGGAACAAGGUUUUGAAUUCCGAAUAUAGCGCUGCUUAAUAGGAAUUCAAAUAAAGAAUGAAGUGCAAAAAAAGUUAUUUUGACCCCUAUACUACCUCUGAUUAAUUUUUUAUGAAAAAAUAUUGCAAAGUUUUGUUUCCUCUUAAUUUUGAGAAACAAGAUUCCAUCUUUAAAGAAUGGCUCUUCCCUGGAUAGUAUUCAAAGUAUAUAGGGAGAAUUCUGUCAGUUACUUGUUGUUUAUUAUACUUUGUCAAAACAUUUUUAUUUUAGAUAUGAGUCCUAUUAACUUGUUUCAUUUUGCAUGUACUUAUACAGUUGUAUAUACAUCAAUAAGAAACUACUCAGGGAACCAUCCAUUUGCUGCAGGUUUUUGCCACAGUAAAUAUAAAAGGUUGUGUUUCCAAAGUUUGCAAUAUAAUUUUUAAAUAAGGACAUUCUCCAUUAAUUUGUAAAAAUCUGAAAGUCAUGUUGAGUUUAAAAUGUACAUCAAAUCAAAAUCCCUUUUCCCAAAUCAAACUAACUUUGUUUAUUUUAUAGAAACUUAUGAUUUGAUACUUAUUUUAUAUUCAGUGUUAGCUCAUUUGGCUGGUGCGUUCGACUCCCUUUAUAAUUGACUAGGAUUUUCAUUUUCCAUAAGCUCAGUUGUUCCUUAUUGGCACUCCAGCUUCCUCAACCCAUAACAAAUGACUGUCAGGAAAUACACAAUAGUGCUGAAAGUGGAAAGUGAUUUUUUUUUAUCCUAAUCAGACAUGAAAUAAAUGUUGCAUCGAAGCAAAAAUUGUUUAUUCUUUUUAUUUAAACAAUAGUUUUCUAAACAAUAUGAUAGGAUACACGAUCUAAACUGUACUGAAAUCCCUAUUUAUUUAGGAUAACCUGCAUAUAUGUGAUUUUGAUAAGUGAUUGAUAUGGUGAUAUUUUGCCAAAAAUGGUUUUAAACCAACAUGAAAUAAAAUUGAUUUAAAAUUAUGUAUACAAAAGUAACAUUGAAUUUACACACCUCAGAUUUUUAUUUUAACUAGAUUGUGAUAUUUGAAUUCAUGUCUUCCAAAACUGUCAUAUUCCGUGAUCAUGACUUCGUUUGAUGUAUGAUAGUGACAAUGUUUUGGAUAUGAUUUAAAGUUGAUUAUGUCAAAAUUGAUUGUUUUGUUUUUUCAGCGGCAUCUAUAUUCACCAUCUGUUAAUCUUUUAUUAAAACCUUACACAUUUAAAACAAACAUUCCAUAAGUACAGCAUAUAACAAAUCAUAAAUGAAAUUAUUAAUAAUGGACAAAUAUGGUUUGCAAGAAAACAGAACCUAUUAAUGGUAUCUUAACAUUUUUUUUUAGUAAAAUUUAUAAAGAAAACUGUUUAAGGAAUGUCAGACAUUUUGUGCAUUCCACAAUUUUUGUAAUCUCUACUUUCUCAUUCUAGAUUAUUUUCUUGUAAUUUUUUUCUUUAUUAAUAAAUUGGAG